rnacentral:rRNA from 1 species
UACGAACCGUGCGAACGUUGUUCGGAAUCACUGGGUUUAAAGGGCGCGUAGGCGGGCUGUCAAGUCGGUGGUGAAAUCGUUCCGCUCAACGGGACAAUGGCCUUCGAUACUGGCGGUCUGGAGGGAGGUAGGGGCAUGCGGAACUUCCGGUGGAGCGGUGAAAUGCGUAGAUAUCGGAAGGAACACCGAUGGCGAAAGCAGCGUGCUGGACCUUUUCUGACGCUGAGGCGCGAAAGCCAGGGGAGCAAACGGG